rnacentral:misc_RNA from 1 species
CUGUCGCAGUCCGAAGUCGCGUACCAGAACGCAGCCGCCUACGCGAAAGACCGCCUGCAGGGCCGCUCCAUCAGCGGCGUGAAAGCUCCCGACAAGCCUGCCGAUCCGAUCAUCGUUCACCCCGACGUGCGGCGCACGCUGAUGUCGAUCCGCGCGUUCAACGAGGGCGCCCGCGCUCUUGUGGUGUGGACAUCGCUGAAAGGCGACGUGGCGCAUCGC